UUGAACGCUGGCGGCAGGCCUAACACAUGCAAGUCGAGCGGAUGAAGGGAGCUUGCUCCUGGAUUCAGCGGCGGACGGGUGAGUAAUGCCUAGGAAUCUGCCUGGUAGUGGGGGAUAACGUCCGGAAACGGGCGCUAAUACCGCAUACGUCCUGAGGGAGAAAGUGGGGGAUCUUCGGACCUCACGCUAUCAGAUGAGCCUAGGUCGGAUUAGCUAGUUGGUGGGGUAAAGGCCUACCAAGGCGACGAUCCGUAACUGGUCUGAGAGGAUGAUCAGUCACACUGGAACUGAGACACGGUCCAGACUCCUACGGGAGGCAGCAGUGGGGAAUAUUGGACAAUGGGCGAAAGCCUGGAACAGCCAUACCGCGUGUGUGAAGAAGGUCUUCGGAUUGUAAAGCACUUUAAGUUGGGAGGAAGGGCAGUAAGUUAAUACCUUGCUGUUUUGACGUUACCAACAGAAUAAGCACCGGCUAACUUCGUG
rnacentral:rRNA from 1 species